rnacentral:rRNA from 1 species
UGGGGAAUUUUGGACAAUGGGGGCAACCCUGAUCCAGCCAUGCCGCGUGUCUGAAGAAGGCCUUCGGGUUGUAAAGGACUUUUGUUAGGGAGCAAAUCGGGUGUGUAAAUAAUGCACCUGGAUGAGAGUACCUAAAGAAUAAGCACCGGCUAACUACGUGCCAGCAGCCGCGGUAAUACGUAGGGUGCAAGCGUUAAUCGGAAUUACUGGGCGUAAAGGGUGCGCAGGCGGUUAAAUAAGUUUGAUGUGAAAGCCCCGGGCUCAACCUGGGACGUGCAUUGGAUACUGUUUAACUAGAGUACGUUAGAGGGGGGUGGAAUUCCACGUGUAGCAGUGAAAUGCGUAGAGAUGUGGAGGAACACCGAUGGCGAAGGCAGCCCCCUGGGAUGAUACUGACGCU